UAUUGUUGCUUAUGGGUAUAUUUGUUUCUUUGUAUUGUUAAUUUGCAUAUAUUUGUGUGUUCUUGCUGGGUUUUGAUCAGUGAUGGAGCUUUCUGUUUCUUGAUUCGUGUACUUCCGGAUUUUUGAUUGUUGCUUUUAGGGGUAAAGUUGGUUCUUUCUAUUGUCAAAUAUUGUUAUGUGAAAAAAUGAAAGAUCUUCAGUUUUUAAUUUUUUGACCCCUUUUGCUUUAAUUUGCUUAGGAACCAAUUGGAGGCACAAUCUCAGUCAGAUUCAUGCUUUGUCUUUCGUUUGGGGAAAAUUGUAUUUUUAGGGUAAAACUUUGCUAGUGGUGGUUGUUGCAGAUUGCUACAGCUUGAAGCGAUUUUGUUAGAAAAAAUAGAAAAGAAAUAAGAAAGAAAGGAAAAUGCAUCCUCCUUUAACACUACACAAGCACCCGAUGUGCGCCGAAAUUAUUGAGGAGUUCCAGAAGUGUCACAUAGACCAUCCCAUUGGGAAAUUCUUUGGUGAAUGUACAGAUCUCAAAAUAAAGCUUGAUCGUUGUUUCAGGGAGGAGCUCUGAAGCGGAAAGCAAACUUUGAGCAGAGUAAGAAAUUGAAGGAAAGACUACAAGCUUUUAGGAAGGAAACUGCUAAAGAGAACAACCUUGUUCAAAGUUAAUGGGGAAGUGAGAGAUCAACAUCUUCAUGGUAAACAGAAGUUUGAUGAUUACUCCAAGAGCACUCAUCCAUGAACUGUUGCUGGUGCAAAUAACAUACAUAAACUGUUGUUGUAGGAAACAUGACUUGAUAUUUUGUUGCACAUGAUGUUUUCAUGGUGCUUAUUUGUUCUGUUGAAUUCGUGGGAAUUAAUCACAUUCGUGGAAAUUGAA